rnacentral:piRNA from 1 species
UGAUCAAUCAAACCCAUUAAA